CAGUCGCCGCGGUAACACGGAGGGGGCUAGCGUUGUUCGGAAUUACUGGGCGUAAAGCGCACGUAGGCGGCUUGGUAAGUUAGAGGUGAAAGCCCGGAGCUCAACUCCGGAAUUGCCUUUAAGACUGCCGAGCUAGCAGGUGAGAGAGGUAAGUGGAAUUCCGAGUGUAGAGGUGAAAUUCGUAGAUAUUCGGAAGAACACCAGUGGCGAAGGCGGCUUACUGGCUCAUUCUAGACGCUGAGGUGCGAAAGCGUGGGGAGCAAACAGGAUUAGAUACCCCUGUAGUCCCUGUCUCUUAUAC
rnacentral:rRNA from 1 species